GGUUGUGGCUCAGCGGUAGAGUGCUAGCCUAGCACAUGCGAGGCCCUGGGUUCGAUCCUCAGCACCA
rnacentral:tRNA from 1 species